CGCUGGCGGCGUGCCUAACACAUGCAAGUCGAACGGGACUUAUUGGAAUGCGACUUCGGUCAAAUGAAUUUAAGUUUAGUGGCGAACGGGUGAGUAACGCGUGAGGAACCUGCCCUUCAGUGGGGGACAACAGUUGGAAACGACUGCUAAUACCGCAUAACAUGUACGGAUCGCAUGGUCUGUACAUCAAAGCUUUAUGUGCUGAAAGAUGGCCUCGCGUCUGAUUAGCUAGUUGGUGGGGUAACGGCCCACCAAGGCGACGAUCAGUAGCCGGUCUGAGAGGAUGAACGGCCACAUUGGGACUGAGACACGGCCCAGACUCCUACGGGAGGCAGCAGUGGGGGAUAUUGCACAAUGGAGGAAACUCUGAUGCAGCAACGCCGCGUGAGGGAAGACGGUCUUCGGAUUGUAGACCUAAGUUAUCAGGGACGAUUAUGACGGUACCUGAAGAGAAAGCUCCGGCUAACUACGUG
rnacentral:rRNA from 1 species